rnacentral:rRNA from 1 species
GCAGUAGGGAAUUUUCGGCAAUGGGGGAAACCCUGACCGAGCAACGCCGCGUGAAUGACGAAGUACUUCGGUAUGUAAAGUUCUUUUAUCAGGGAAGAAUGGCUAGCGGAAAAGCUAGAUUGACGGUACCUGAUGAAUAAGCCCCGGCUAACUAUGUGCCAGCAGCCGCGGUAAUACAUAGGGGGCAAGCGUUAUCCGGAAUUAUUGGGCGUAAAGGGUGCGUAGGUGGUUAAUUAAGUCUUUGGUAUAAGUGCAGUGCUUAACGCUGUGAUGCUAAAGAAACUGGUUGACUUGAGUGUGGUAGAGGCAAGUGGAAUUCCAUGUGUAGCGGUAAAAUGCGUAAAUAUAUGGAGGAACACCAGUGGCGAAGGCGGCUUGCUGGGCCAUAACUGACACUGAGGCACGAAAGCGUGGGGAGCAAACAGGAUUAGAUACCCUGGUAGUCCACGCCGUAAACGAUGAGUACUAAGUGUUGGAGAAAUUCAGUGCUGUAGUUAACGCAAUA